ensembl:processed_transcript Gm11292 predicted gene 11292
AUGAAAAUACACUCGCCAAUGGCCGGGUCCUCUGAGACCUGCUCUCCAUCUGGUUCAGCAAGUUGCCCUCUACAGCUGAAGAAGAAUCUACCGGCGAGUCUCUGGGUCGAUGGUUUUGCAACUGGACAAAGUAGAAGCGUUAAUGCAGAUGCAUCACAGUCUUUCAAAGAUAUUCUAGCCCUGCCGAAAGGUCUCCGUGCUGAUGUCGGAAGCUCUGUACACCUCCCACAGUCUUGUUUCGUGCUUUGCCCCGUGAUGGUAAAAGACUCACUCUCUGUCGUCUGGUUUAAAUGGAGGAUACGGAGAAACAGAGAAGUAAGGUGCAAUGUGAAGACCCCUUCAGAAUGCCAUCAGCGUGUUUAACUGGGAGAUGGUGAUGCGACAUCAGAGCAGACACAGACUUCUCAUUGCAGGAUGUCAAUUGACAUGGAUGUCUGGCUAUUGGAUGCAUAUAGAAAGGCAAGGAAGCUUAGCACGGAAGUCCAGCCCCAUAAAUGUGACAAGCCGGAUGGCAUCCCCUUUGUCCCCACAUACUGCUGUCAUCUUCCUUCCUUCCUUCCUUCCUUG